rnacentral:rRNA from 1 species
AGUGAACGCUGGCGGUAGGCCUAACACAUGCAAGUCGAACGGCAGCACAGUAAGAGCUUGCUCUUACGGGUGGCGAGUGGCGGACGGGUGAGGAAUACAUCGGAAUCUACUUUUUCGUGGGGGAUAACGUAGGGAAACUUACGCUAAUACCGCAUACGACCUACGGGUGAAAGCAGGGGAUCUUCGGACCUUGCGCGAUUGAAUGAGCCGAUGUCGGAUUAGCUAGUUGGCGGGGUAAAGGCCCACCAAGGCGACGAUCCGUAGCUGGUCUGAGAGGAUGAACAGCCACACUGGAUCUGAGACACGGUCCAGACUCCUACGGGAGGCAGCAGUCGGGAAUAUUGGACAAUGGGCGCAAGCCUGCUCCAGCCAUACCGCGUGGGUGAAGAAGGCCUUAGGGUUGUACAGCCCUUUUGUUGGGAAAGAAAAGCAGCAGGUUAAUACCCCGCUGUUCUGACGGUACCCAAAGAAUAAGCACCGGCUAACUUCGUG